UGGGUAACCUGCCCUGUACACACGGAUAACAUACCGAAAGGUAUGCUAAUACGAGAUAAUAUGUUUUGACCGCAUGGUCGAGACAUCAAAGCUCCGGCGGUACAGGAUGGACCCGCGUCUGAUUAGCUAGUUGGUGAGGUAAUGGCUCACCAAGGCGACGAUCAGUAGCCGACCUGAGAGGGUGAUCGGCCACAUUGGAACUGAGACACGGUCCAAACUCCGUAGGAGG
rnacentral:rRNA from 1 species